rnacentral:rRNA from 1 species
UACGUAGGAUGCAAGCGUUGUUCGGAAUUACUGGGCGUAAAGGGCUCGUAGGCGGCCAACUAAGUCAGACGUGAAAUCCCCAGGCUCAACCUGGGAACUGCGUCUGAUACUGGAUGGCUUGAAUCCGGGAGAGGGAUGCAGAAUUCCAGGUGUAGCGGUGAAAUGCGUAGAUAUCUGGAGGAAUACCGGUGGCGAAGGCGGCAUCCUGGACCGGCAUUGACGCUGAGGCGCGAAAGCUAGGGGAGCAAACGGG